UGCGCAGGCGGGUUUGUAAGUCAGUGGUGAAAUCCUGCCGCUUAACGGUAGAAUUGCCAUUGAUACUGCGAAUCUUGAGUAUGGUUGAGGUUGGCGGAAUGUGUAGUGUAGCGGUGAAAUGCAUAGAUAUUACACAGAACUCCGAUUGCGAAGGCAGCUUACUAAGCCAUAACUGACGCUGAGGCACGAAAGCGUGGGGAGCGAACAGGAUUAGAUACCCUGGUAGUCC
rnacentral:rRNA from 1 species